rnacentral:misc_RNA from 1 species
ACGUAGCUACGUUGUCGUCGUCACUCGUCAUCGCAUAGUUGCUGAUAUCAUCGCCGCCGUGUGAUUUCUGGAGCAUCGUCGAAAGAGAUAAAUUUCAUUAUUAUUGUUAUUAUUAUUACGUUGGUUGUUUUACGUACUUUAAUGUGCGUAGGAAACUAGGAAAUCAAUAUAAUCUUUAAUAUUAAUUUAAUGUAAAUAUGUAAAUAGUAAAUUCCAACAAAUUGCAGUCUGCAGAUGAGCGAGUGACGAUGGCGCGGCGGCGUGCACACAAUAAUCCCGUAAUUAUUUCAGUCGUCGUCAAGUGAUCUCUCGUUAUCUUCUCUUCUUUCGUCGUAGUCCGACAUUCCGCGUUACGGCCGUUGUCGUAACGUAUAUGGCAUGUGACGCAGUAAAUGUACCGCCUAAUUCUAGUCCCCAACGAUGUAAAACAAUGCGCAACCAUGUUGGACCAAGGCCAGGUCGAUAUUAAUUAAGAUUGAAUAAAUAUCUAUGAAUGUUGAAACAAAUUUAAUCAUGGCAAUUAAAUAUAACCUUGUUAAAGCUGUAUUUUAUGUCAAAAAACCAAAUCAAUUUUUUUUAAUCUAGUCCAUUUGAAUACUAUACAAAUAUCAACAUGAAUAAUCCAUCUACAUAGUUAUGUGAUUUAUAAAAAUGCCCAGAAGACCAUUGACAGAUGAACAGCGAGAACAAUCUAGAAAACGUCGCUUAGAACGUGACCGUGAACGACAACGAAAGAGACGUUUAGAUCCAGUGUUGAGAGCUAUUGAGCGAGGAAAAAACACGAUUGCUAAAAGAUUAUCUAGAUCUAAAGUCCUUUAUGGUGAUAACAUUGAUAAAUUAUAUCCAGAAGCUAAUAUCGAUUGUAGUGAAAUGGCAUCAUUGUUAGAUAAUGUGGAUAUUGUAAAUUUAGAAGAUCUGAAUCGAAUAAAAAAAGAAAGAGAUAAAGAAAGACAACGUCAAAGAAGAAUGAAUCCUGAAUUCCGUGCUAAAGAACGUGCAAGAAAUAGAAUAUUAAAAAGGAUUUCUCGACAAAAAAAUUAUUAUACCUUAGAGCUCAUUUCAAACUGUGAUUUUAAAUUGUCGCCUUAACACCUUAAGAAGACACCGUGUAUUGUCUCAGCUAGCAAAUGUACUAUAUAGCAAAUUUGAGUUUAUCAAUUCCAAUUUUGUGAUGUUAUAUAUGUUAGGGUAAAUUUAUUAUCAACUAUAAAGGUAGUAAAUUGUGAAUGCUGUGGAGAACCAAUAGAAAGUGACCAUGUAUGUUUCUCCAACAUAUUAUCAGUCGAACUCCAUGAAAUUGAUGUUGCCAAUAGUACCAUAAAAAAG